rnacentral:rRNA from 1 species
AUGUCACUAUUCGAAGCGUCAAAAGAAUGUGCAUCGCUUCGGCGGAUGAUCGGCCACAUUCAGCAGACGUGUGGGCUAAACACCGUACAAACCCCUACCAUUAUCUAUGAAGAAAAUGUUGCUUGUGUUGCACAAGUUCAGAUGAGUUAUGUGAAGAGUAACCUCACAAGGCAUAUUAGUCCCAAGUUCUUCUAUGCACAUGAGCUGCAGCAGUUGAACGAGGUGAGAGUUUUGGAGACUAUGUCUUGUGACAAUCCUGCUGAUAUAUUCACUAAAUCAUUACCGGCAUCAACCUUAGAGAGGUGUGUGCAUGGAAUCGUUAUGAUAAGACUUUGA